CCUACGGUGAGCUGCAGUCGAGAAUCAUUCACAAUGGGGGAAACCCUGAUGGUGCGACGCCGCGUGGGGGAAUGAAGGUCUUCGGAUUGUAAACCCCUGUCAUGUGGGAGCAAAUUAAAAAGAUAGUACCACAAGAGGAAGAGACGGCUAACUCUGUUCCAGCAGCCGCGGGAAUACAGAGGUCUCAAGCGUUGUUCGGCAGCACUGGGCGUACAGCGUGCGUAGGCUGUUUCGUAAGUCGUGUGUGAAAGGCGCGGGCUCAACCCGCGGACGGCACAUGAUACUGCGAGACUAGAGUAAUGGAGGGGGAACCGGAAUUCGCGGUGUAGCAGUGAAAUGCGUAGAUAUCGAGAGGAACACUCGUGGCGAAGGCGGGUUCCUGGACAUUAACUGACGCUGAGGCACGAAGGCCAGGGGAGCGAAAGGGAUUAGAUACCCUAGUAGUC
rnacentral:rRNA from 1 species